GGGAUCAUUACUGAGUGAGGGCUCCGGCCCGACCUCCACCCCAUGUGAACCGAAACCUGUUGCUUCGGGGGCGACCCUGCCUUCGCGCGAGGCGCCCCCGGAGGCUCAUCAAACCCUGCAUCUUUGCGUCGGAGUCUCAAUGAAUUUAAACAAAACUUUUAACAACGGAUCUCUUGGUUCUGGCAUCGAUGAAGAACGCAGCGAAAUGCGAUAAGUAAUGUGAAUUGCAGAAUUCAGUGAAUCAUCGAAUCUUUGAACGCACAUUGCGCCCCGUGGUAUUCCGCGGGGCAUGCCUGUUCGAGCGUCAUUUCACCACUCAAGCCUCGCUUGGUAUUGGGUGCCGCGGCCUCGCCCGCGCGCCUCGAAAUCUCCGGCUGAGCCGUCCGUCUCCCCGCGUUGUGACUUUAUUGUUUCGCUGCGGAGCACGGGCGACUUCGGCCGUUAAAUCUCAUCAAAGGUUGACCUCG
rnacentral:rRNA from 1 species